UCGUAAUAGUCCGCAGGAAGUCCUCCU
rnacentral:sRNA from 1 species